rnacentral:rRNA from 1 species
UUUGGGCUAGGGGGUCAUCCCGACUUACCAAACCCAUGCAAACUCCGAAUACCGAGAAGUGCAAUUACGGGAGACACACGGCGGGUGAUAACGUCCGUCGUGGAAAGGGAAACAACCCAGACCAUCAGCUAAGGUCCCAAAAUUAUGGCUCAGUGGAAAACGAUGUGGGAAGGCCCAGACAGCUAGGAGGUUGGCUUAGAAGCAGCCAUCCUUUAAAGAAAGCGUAAUAGCUCACUAGUCGAGUCGGCCUGCGCGGAAGAUGUAACGGGGCUCAAACCAUGCACCGAAGCUACGGGUAUCACCUUUAGGUGAUGCGGUAGAGGAGCGUUCUGUAAGCCUGUGAAGGUGAGUUGAGAAGCUUGCUGGAGGUAUCAGAAGUGCGAAUGCUGACAUGAGUAACGACAAUGCGAGUGAAAAACUCGCACGCUGAAAGACCAAGGGUUCCAGUCCAACGUUAAUCGGGGCUGGGUGAGUCGACCCCUAAGGCGAGGCUGAAAAGCGUAGUCGAUGGAAAACAGGUUAAUAUUCCUGUACUUCCAGUUAUUGCGAUGGAGGGACGGAGAAGGCUAGGCCAGCUUGGCGUUGGUUGUCCAAGUUUAAGGUGGUAGGCUGAAAUCUUAGGCAAAUCCGGGAUUUCAAGGCCGAGAGCUGAUGACGAGUGCUCAUUAGAGCGCGAAGUGGUUGAUGCCAUGCUUCCAAGAAAAGCUCCUAAGCUUCAGAUAACUGGGAACCGUACCCCAAACCGACACAGGUGGUUAGGUAGAGAAUACUAAGGCGCUUGAGAGAACUCGGGUGAAGGAACUAGGCAAAAUGGCACCGUAACUUCGGGAGAAGGUGCGCCGGUGAGGGUGAAGCACUUGCUGCGUAAGCCCACGCCGGUCGAAGAUACCAGGCCGCUGCGACUGUUUAUUAAAAACACAGCACUCUGCAAACUCGAAAGAGGACGUAUAGGGUGUGACGCCUGCCCGGUGCUGGAAG